UACGGAGGGUGCAAGCGUUAUCCGGAUUCACUGGGUUUAAAGGGUGCGUAGGCGGGCAGGUAAGUCCGUGGUGAAAUCUCCGAGCUUAACUCGGAAACUGCCAUGGAUACUAUUUGUCUUGAAUACCGUGGAGGUGAGCGGAAUAUGUCAUGUAGCGGUGAAAUGCUUAGAGAUGACAUAGAACACCAAUUGCGAAGGCAGCUCACUGCGCAGUUAUUGACGCUGAGGCACGAAAGCGUGGGGAUCAAACAGG
rnacentral:rRNA from 1 species